rnacentral:rRNA from 1 species
AUCUAAGGCCAUAUCACCCUGAAGGCGCCUGAUCUCGGAAGCUAAGCAGGGUCGGGCCCGGUUAGUACUUAGAUGGGAGAAAAUUAAGAUGAAUACAGUCCACCAGAUU